UACGGAGGGUGCAAGCGUUAUCCGGAUUCACUGGGUUUAAAGGGUGCGUAGGUGGCUUUGUAAGUCAGUGGUGAAAUGUUCCGGCUUAACCGGGAAACUGCCAUUGAUACUGCUUAGCUUGAAUCAGGUCGAAGUGGAUGGAAUAUUACAUGUAGCGGUGAAAUGCUUAGAUAUGUAAUAGAACACCGAUUGCGAAGGCAGUUCACUAGGCCUGUAUUGACACUGAGGCACGAAAGCGUGGGGAAUCAAACAGG
rnacentral:rRNA from 1 species